UGAAGACUGAAGUGUGGACACUAUG
rnacentral:piRNA from 1 species